CAAAACACCAAUGCACAUCACAAAAAAAGGGAGGGGGUUCUGGUCGGGGUGGUCCUGUCCAUCUGUCUCUGCUCCAGUCCUGCAGGACAGCUGACCGGCUCCUAAUCUCAGCUAUUGUGGUUAAUCUUUACUUCUGCGCCUGCGCCAAGGAUGCUGCAGUGCCCUCAUCUCCUCUGCUGUGUGUGGGGGAUGUUCUGUCUUCCAAGGCUUGAGUGACUGCAGUUUUAGGACAAUGACGCAUCUCGGGCUUUCAGCCUGGUGAGUCACCCUUUUGUAGCCAAAGCUGUGUCUAAGUGCCUGCUGCACUUGAUGGCUGGCCUGCAGCAGGAGGGAUGUGCACCAGAUCCAGGUCAAGCCCUUAAGAAGCCUGGAGCUUUGUUCUCAUUCUUUUAAGGGCAAGUGGCCCUGCAAAGAAGCUCCAGCUAGAUUAACAGUGGAUAAAAGAACAUGUGGGGGGAAGGAAGGUGAUGUGGAAAAGAAACACUGUAUCCCAUCCAACAGAGAGGAGCCCAAGAUACGUGUUGGUGAUGGAUGACACAAGGUUCUACCUCCUAAAAGUUCUACUGCCUCCAGUGGUGCAAACAGAUGGGAAUCAUGCCUUCAACUCAUGGCCGUCUAAGAGACAUUCAAGAUUUUAGCUGUAGCAAGCAUCUAAUCCGCCUUCUUCCUGUGCUUUCCCGCUGAGAGGAAGGGGUCAGUGGUCACUCCUGGGGGAUAAAUUAGAGCAAACACUUUGCCUCCCUAGCCUCCUCCUUCACAUUUGAACCUGAUUUUGACCAACGGGAUAUAAAAGAGAAGUCAUUUCGA
rnacentral:sRNA from 1 species